rnacentral:rRNA from 1 species
UACAGGGGGGGCAAGCGUUGUUCGGAAUUACUGGGCGUAAAGGGCUCGUAGGUGGCCAACUAAGUCAGACGUGAAAUCCCUCAGCUUAACUGGGGAACUGCGUCUGAUACUGGAUGGCUUGAGUUUGGGAGAGGGAUGCGGAAUUCCAGGUGUAGCGGUGAAAUGCGUAGAUAUCAGGAGGAACACCGAUGGCGAAGGCAGGUCUCUGGGCCACUACUGACGCUGAGAAGCGAAAGCAUGGGGAGCGAACAGG